rnacentral:rRNA from 1 species
AACGUAGGACGCAAGCGUUAUCCGGAGUUACUGGGCGUAAAGCGCGGGCAGGCGGCUGGAUGCGUCUGAUGUGAAAUCUCCUCGCUCAACGGGGAGAGGCCAUUGGAAACGGUCGAGCUGGAGGGCAGUAGAGGUAGGCGGAAUUCCGGGUGGAGUGGUGAAAUACGUAGAGAUCCGGAGGAACACCAGAGGCGAAGGCGGCCUACUGGGCUGCACCUGACGCUGAGCCGCGAAAGCCAGGGGAGUGAACGGG